rnacentral:rRNA from 1 species
GCUUAGAAGCAGCCAUCAUUUAAAGAAAGCGUAAUAGCUCACUGGUCGAGUCGGCCUGCGCGGAAGAUGUAACGGGGCUAAACCAUGCACCGAAGCUGCGGCAGCGACGCUUAUGCGUUGUUGGGUAGGGGAGCGUUCUGUAAGCCUGUGAAGGUGUGCUGUGAGGCAUGCUGGAGGUAUCAGAAGUGCGAAUGCUGACAUAAGUAACGAUAAAGCGGGUGAA